GGAGGAGGUCGAGCAGCCGCCCGUCGCACCGCGGCGGGAGGAAAGUCCGGACUCCAUAGGGCAGGGUGGCCGCUAACGGCGGCCUCGAGCAAUCGGGGGAAAGUGCCACAGAAAAGAGACCGCCCCGGACCGAAGGCCCGGAGCAAGGGUGAAAAGGCGAGGUAAGAGCUCGCCAGAUCCGUUCGAGAGAACGGAUGCUCGGCAAACCCCACCCGGAGCAAGACCGAGUAGGAGGGAGAUCCGGCCACCUCGGCCGGGUGCGGGUGGUCCGCCCGUUCCCUCGGGUCGGUCGCUCGAUCCCUCGGGUAACCGGGGGACCAGACGAAUGGCUGCUGCCCCCGCUUCCUGAGCGGGGGAACAGAAUCCGGCUUACAGACCUCCUCCGGCG
rnacentral:RNase_P_RNA from 1 species